rnacentral:rRNA from 1 species
GAUGAACGCUGGCGGCGUGCCUAAUACAUGCAAGUCGAGCGAACGGACGAGAAGCUUGCUUCUCUGAUGUUAGCGGCGGACGGGCGAGUAACACGUGGAUAACCUACCUAUAAGACUGGGAUAACUUCGGGAAACCGGAGCUAAUACCGGAUAAUAUUUUGAACCGCAUGGUUCAAAAGUGAAAGACGGUCUUGCUGUCACUUAUAGAUGGAUCCGCGCUGCAUUAGCUAGUUGGUAAGGUAACGGCUUACCAAGGCAACGAUGCAUAGCCGACCUGAGAGGGUGAUCGGCCACACUGGAACUGAGACACGGUCCAGACUCCUACGGGAGGCAGCAGUAGGGAAUCUUCCGCAAUGGGCGAAAGCCUGACGGAGCAACGCCGCGUGAGUGAUGAAGGUCUUCGGAUCGUAAAACUCUGUUAUUAGGGAAGAACAUAUGUGUAAGUAACUGUGCACAUCUUGACGGUACCUAAUCAGAAAGCCACGGCUAACUACGUGCCAGCAGCCGCGGUAAUACGUAGGUGGCAAGCGUUAUCCGGAAUUAUUGGGCGUAAAGCGCGCGUAGGCGGUUUUUUAGUCUGAUGUGAAAGCCCACGGCUCAACCGUGGAGGGUCAUUGGAAACUGGAAAACUUGAGUGCAGAAGAGGAAAGUGGAAUUCCAUGUGUAGCGGUGAAAUGCGCAGAGAUAUGGAGGAACACCAGUGGCGAAGGCGACUUUCUGGUCUGUAACUGACGCUGAUGUGCGAAAGCGUGGGGAUCAAACAGGAUUAGAUACCCUGGUAGUCCACGCCGUAAACGAUGAGUGCUAAGUGUUAGGGGGUUUCCGCCCCUUAGUGCUGCAGCUAACGCAUUAAGCACUCCGCCUGGGGAGUACGACCGCAAGGUUGAAACUCAAAGGAAUUGACGGGGACCCGCACAAGCGGUGGAGCAUGUGGUUUAAUUCGAAGCAACGCGAAGAACCUUACCAAAUCUUGACAUCCUUUGACAACUCUAGAGAUAGAGCUUUCCCCUUCGGGGGACAAAGUGACAGGUGGUGCAUGGUUGUCGUCAGCUCGUGUCGUGAGAUGUUGGGUUAAGUCCCGCAACGAGCGCAACCCUUAAGCUUAGUUGCCAUCAUUAAGUUGGGCACUCUAAGUUGACUGCCGGUGACAAACCGGAGGAAGGUGGGGAUGACGUCAAAUCAUCAUGCCCCUUAUGAUUUGGGCUACACACGUGCUACAAUGGACAAUACAAAGGGCAGCGAAACCGCGAGGUCAAGCAAAUCCCAUAAAGUUGUUCUCAGUUCGGAUUGUAGUCUGCAACUCGACUACAUGAAGCUGGAAUCGCUAGUAAUCGUAGAUCAGCAUGCUACGGUGAAUACGUUCCCGGGUCU